rnacentral:rRNA from 1 species
AGCGAACGCUGGCGGCAGGCUUAACACAUGCAAGUCGAGCGGGCAUAGCAAUAUGUCAGCGGCAGACGGGUGAGUAACGCGUGGGAACGUACCUUUUGGUUCGGAACAACUGAGGGAAACUUCAGCUAAUACCGGAUAAGCCCUUACGGGGAAAGAUUUAUCGCCGAAAGAUCGGCCCGCGUCUGAUUAGCUAGUUGGUGAGGUAAUGGCUCACCAAGGCGACGAUCAGUAGCUGGUCUGAGAGGAUGAUCAGCCACAUUGGGACUGAGACACGGCCCAAACUCCUACGGGAGGCAGCAGUGGGGAAUAUUGGACAAUGGGCGCAAGCCUGAUCCAGCCAUGCCGCGUGAGUGAUGAAGGCCCUAGGGUUGUGAAGCUCUUUUGUGCGGGAAGAUAAUGACGGUACCGCAAGAAUAAGCCCCGGCUAACUUCGUG